rnacentral:rRNA from 1 species
CAAGGCAACGAUGCAUAGCCGACCUGAGAGGGUGAUCGGCCACACUGGAACUGAGACACGGUCCAGACUCCUACGGGAGGCAGCAGUAGGGAAUCUUCCGCAAUGGGCGAAAGCCUGACGGAGCAACGCCGCGUGAGUGAUGAAGGUCUUCGGAUCGUAAAACUCUGUUAUUAGGGAAGAACAUAUGUGUAAGUAACUGUGCACAUCUUGACGGUACCUAAUCAGAAAGCCACGGCUAACUACGUGCCAGCAGCCGCGGUAAUACGUAGGUGGCAAGCGUUAUCCGGAAUUAUUGGGCGUAAAGCGCGCGUAGGCGGUUUUUUAAGUCUGAUGUGAAAGCCCACGGCUCAACCGUGGAGGGUCAUUGGAAACUGGAAAACUUGAGUGCAGAAGAGGAAAGUGGAAUUCCAUGUGUAGCGGUGAAAUGCGCAGAGAUAUGGAGGAACACCAGUGGCGAAGGCGACUUUCUGGUCUGUAACUGACGCUGAUGUGCGAAAGCGUGGGGAUCAAACAGGAUUAGAUACCCUGGUAGUCCACGCCGUAAA